AGUGAACGCUGGCGGUAGGCCUAACACAUGCAAGUCGAACGGCAGCACAGUAAGAGCUUGCUCUUACGGGUGGCGAGUGGCGGACGGGUGAGGAAUACAUCGGAAUCUACUUUUUCGUGGGGGAUAACGUAGGGAAACUUACGCUAAUACCGCAUACGACCUACGGGUGAAAGCAGGGGAUCUUCGGACCUUGCGCGAUUGAAUGAGCCGAUGUCGGAUUAGCUAGUUGGCGGGGUAAAGGCCCACCAAGGCGACGAUCCGUAGCUGGUCUGAGAGGAUGAUCAGCCACACUGGAACUGAGACACGGUCCAGACUCCUACGGGAGGCAGCAGUGGGGAAUAUUGGACAAUGGGCGCAAGCCUGAUCCAGCCAUACCGCGUGGGUGAAGAAGGCCUUCGGGUCGUAAAGCCCUUUUGUUGGGAAAGAAAAGCAGCAGGUUAAUACCCCGCUGUUCUGACGGUACCCAAAGAAUAAGCACCGGCUAACUCCGU
rnacentral:rRNA from 1 species